UACGUAGGGUGCAAGCGUUGUCCGGAAUUAUUGGGCGUAAAGAGCUCGUAGGCGGUCUGUCGCGUCGGCUGUGAAAACCCGGAGCUCAACUCCGGGCCUGCAGUCGAUACGGGCAAACUGGAGUGUUGCAGGGGAGACUGGAAUUCCUGGUGUAGCGGUGAAAUGCGCAGAUAUCAGGAGGAACACCGGUGGCGAAGGCGGGUCUCUGGGCAACACGUGACGCUGAGGAGCGAAAGCGUGGGGAGCAAACAGG
rnacentral:rRNA from 1 species